UUCUGCUGCUGAAAUGCAUAGACGAAGAGUUUCUCCACAUACUUCAUGUGCACUUGUCCUAGGAGAUUGUGGGUUUUCAAUGGGACUUGUUGUGGCAGCAUGGAACUCAGGAAAACUUUUGAAGACACUGUGGCAAAUAUUUAUCUUGACUUUCUCUAGAAGCAGAUAA